AUCGCCUCUCGGCCUUUUGGCUAAGAUCAAGUGUAGUAUCUGUUGUUAUCAGUUUAAUGUAUGUAGGGCCAAACGGUGACACAGGAAGUAAUUCAUUUGAUUAUUGAUUUUUUUUUGUUUGUUAAUCCUCACCCAAGGAUAUUUUUCCAUUGAUUUUUAGAUAGAGUGGAAGGGAGGGAGAAACA